GUCAAAUUAAAUUUGAAUUCACCGCUCCACGCCGAUACGUCAUUGGAAUUUUCAUCGGAAGAGAAUCUUAGAUUUUCUUCCAACUAAUCUACGCUCAAUGAAGGAUUAUGGGUGAAGUAAGAAAACCAGCAAUCUCGAUAAUCAACGUGGCCCCUGAUCGAUUUCCAUUCGAUAUCUUCAUCGUGUAACCUCGUGCCUGCUGCACAUCCAUAUUGAGAGAUCAGUUUCAAAAUGGAUGACGAUGAAGAUAUCCUAAAAGUCAUACAGAAGUUUUUGAUUAAAGGUAAGCACAAUCAAGAUUAAUAAAAUUAUUAGUAUUAA